UACGUAGGGCGCAAGCGUUAUCCGGAAUAUUGGGCGUUAAAGAGCUCGUAGGCGGUUUGUCGCGUCUGCCGUGAAAGUCCGGGGCUCAACUCCGGAUCUGCGGUGGGUACGGGCAGACUAGAGUGAUGUAGGGGGAGACUGGAAUUCCUGGUGUAGCGGUGAAAUGCGCAGAUAUCAGGAGGAACACCGGUGGCGAAGGCGGGUCUCUGGGCCGAUACUGACGCUGAGGAGCGAAAGCGUGGGGAGCGAACAGG
rnacentral:rRNA from 1 species